UACGAAGGGGGCGAGCGUUGUUCGGAUUUACUGGGCGUAAAGGGCGCGUAGGCGGCGGCCCAAGUCGAGUGUGAAAGCCCCGGGCUCAACCUGGGAGGUGCGCUCGAGACUGGGUUGCUGGAGUUCGGGAGAGGAGCGUGGAAUUCCCAGUGUAGAGGUGAAAUUCGUAGAUAUUGGGAAGAACACCGGUGGCGAAGGCGGCGCUCUGGACCGAGACUGACGCUGAGGCGCGAAAGCGUGGGGAGCAAACAGG
rnacentral:rRNA from 1 species